AAUCUGCCCAGUUCAAGCAGUGUAAUAAAGUGAAAGCUGAGGGGUUUAUUUGAAAAAAUGCAAUAUAUGGGUUAUGUUGAGGGGGUUAUGAGGUGUUUUCUCUCAUUCUCACCCUCUCACACUAUCUCCUCUCUUUCUCUCUCUAGAAAAAAAGAAGAAGAAGAAGAAAAGAAAGGAAGGAAAGGAAAAAGAAGAAGAAGGAGAAGCAGUAGAAGGUGAAGAAGAAGCUAAGGAGUAGAG
rnacentral:lncRNA from 1 species